AUGUUGUUAAAAAGUUGUGUUGCCACUCAUAGGUGCAAACCGCCAUCUAAACGACUUCGAACGACACAUCGUCAACUCACAUCUGAGUAUCUCGGAUACAAAUGGAUGAAAGACAUAGGCUUUGAUCCCACUGUGAAAGUGAGGUUUCUCAUGCGGACGGUGAAAAAACAAUUUGGUUAUGAAGUCAAGUAUGGGAAGGCAUGGAAGGCAAAGGCAAAUGCUAUUAGGAUGUUGUAUGGUGGUUAUGAAGAAGCAUACAACCAGCUCCCAAGGUUGUUGGCCGCAAUUGCACAUAAGAACCCGGGCAUGUUUCAUGUGGUCGAGGAUCACGAGGGAGUGUUCCACCGUGCCUUCUGGAGUUAUGGACAAUGUGUGUAG
rnacentral:rRNA from 1 species